rnacentral:sRNA from 1 species
UUGAGGUCAAGAGCAUUAGAUUCGAACUUCAACUGUCUUGAGAACUCUUUCUUUAUGUUGCUUAUGUCGCAAGCGACAUUGCUUUCGUCGUCAUCUUCCUCGAUUCUUGGAUUCUUCUUCUUAAUCAUCGUUGGCGCAGCAUCAUAUUCCGGUUUCCUCUUGUUAUUGACCAAACCAGAACCUGAUUUGUUACAAUUCAACACCAUUGGUAUGACAAAAUGUUCAUUCUCUACACAUUCAUCAUCUUCUCUCGUCAAAAGGAAGAUUAUUUGGCUCUUCUUUCCUUGAAAACCAUCCAAAUCUCCCGCCUCAAAUCGAUCUACGAGGAUGUUCAUGAACUGAGCAUCGGCUAAAUCAACUC